GUCUAGAGGCUUCGGCAAUGGGGGCAACCCUGACCGAGCGACGCCGCGUGUGGGAUUGAAGGCGUUUACGUCGUAAACCACUGCUUGAGGGGAAGAAUGCCCGAAUGGCGAAUUCGGGAGAGACGGUACUCUCAAAGAAAGCCCCGGCUAACUCCGUGCCAGCAGCCGCGGUAAUACGGGGGGGGCAAGCGUUGUUCGGAUUUACUGGGCGUAAAGGGAGCGUAGGCUGUCGGUCAAGUCCGGUGUGAAACCCUUACCGCUUACCGGAAGGACGGCACUGGAUACUGGCCGGCUAGAGUGGGGUAGAGGCAAGCGGAAUUCCUGGUGUAGCGGUGGAAUGUGCAGAUAUCAGGAAGAACAUCUGUGGCGAAGGCGGCUUGCUGGGCCCUUACUGACGCUGAGGCUCGAAAGCGUGGGGAGCAAACGGGAUUAGAAACCCGGGUAGUCC
rnacentral:rRNA from 1 species